UACGAAGGGGGCUAGCGUUGCUCGGAAUUACUGGUCGUAAAGGGAGCGUAGGCGGACAUUUAAGUCAGGGGUGAGAUCCCGGGGCUCAACCUCGGAAUUGCCUUUGAUACUGGGUGUCUUGAGUAUGAGAGAGGUGUGUGGAACUCCGAGUGUAGAGGUGAAAUUCGUAGAUAUUCGGAAGAACACCAGUGGCGAAGGCGACACACUGGCUCAUUACUGACGCUGAGGCUCGAAAGCGUGGGGAGCAAACAGGGAUUAGAUACCCUGGUAGUCCACGCCGUAAACGAUGAUUGCUAGUUGUCGGGAUGCAUGCAUUUCGGUGACGCAGCUAACGCAUUAAGCAAUCCGCCUGGGGAGUACGGUCGCAAGAUUAAAACUCAA
rnacentral:rRNA from 1 species